GCGUAGGGUAUGUAGGUUGUGAAAAAAGAAAAAACAAAAAUACUAGGUACUUAUCUUUUAGGUUUUUUACUAAUUCAUAGAAUCUCAGAAAGGGGAUGGUACGUUUUUGUGAGUGGUUAAAUAGUAGAUAAAAAAUGGACCGACAGUGGCGAAAGAAUUACCUUUUCGAGUAUUGACGUAAGGUACGAAGGCAGGGGAGCAAAGCGGAUUAGACACCCGCGUAGUCCGUGUGUCAACGCUGAGUUUUCAAUGUAGAAUAAAUGGAGAAAAACAUUUAUAUUUAUAUUUGUAAUUUCUUCAAAAGUGUGGUGUUUGAGUAACGCAUUAAAUUCUCCGCUGGGAAGUACGGCCGCAGGUUGGAACUCAAAAGAAUUGAGGUGACUUGUACGAGG
rnacentral:rRNA from 1 species